GCCUCCUGUGGCACAAUAGGUCCGUAUGAUGGGCUGUUAACCAGAAGGUUGGUGGUUCAAGUCCACCCAGGGGUG